rfam:Salmo salar isolate Sally breed double haploid chromosome ssa03, whole genome shotgun sequence.
AUGUUGGUGGUUAAGUGGUAGAAUACUCGCCUGCCAUGCGGGAGGCCCGGGUUCAGAUCCUAGCCCAUGCA